AACGCUAGCUACAGGCUUAACACAUGCAAGUCGAGGGGAAACGACAUCGAAAGCUUGCUUUUGGUGGGCGUCGACCGGCGCACGGGUGAGUAACGCGUAUCCAACCUGCCCACCACUUGGGGAUAACCUUGCGAAAGUAAGACUAAUACCCAAUGAUAUCCCACGAAGGCAUCCGAAUGGGAUUAAAGAUUUAUCGGUGAUGGAUGGGGAUGCGUCUGAUUAGCUUGUUGGCGGGGUAACGGCCCACCAAGGCUACGAUCAGUAGGGGUUCUGAGAGGAAGGUCCCCCACAUUGGAACUGAGACACGGUCCAAACUCCUACGGGAGGCAGCAGUGAGGAAUAUUGGUCAAUGGGCGAGAGCCUGAACCAGCCAAGUAGCGUGCAGGACGACGGCCCUAUGGGUUGUAAACUGCUUUUAUAAGGGAAUAAAGUGAGUCUCGUGAGGCUUUUUGCAUGUACCUUAUGAAUAAGGACCGGCUAAUUCCGUGCCAGCAGCCGCGGUAAUACGGAAGGUCCGGGCGUUAUCCGGAUUUAUUGGGUUUAAAGGGAGCGUAGGCCGUCGUUUAAGCGUGUUGUGAAAUGCCGCGGCUCAACCGUGGCACUGCAGCGCGAACUGGAUGACUUGAGUUCGCGGGAGGUAGGCGGAAUUCGUGGUGUAGCGGUGAAAUGCUUAGAUAUCACGAAGAACUCCGAUUG
rnacentral:rRNA from 1 species